rnacentral:rRNA from 1 species
AAUUUGGUAUUUCCAUUGGUUUAUCGCCUCAUUAGACUUGCAUUGACAUUACCGGUGGCAAUUGCAUCCAUUGAGAGGGUUUUCUCAGCCAUGAAUAUUAUAAAGACAGAUCUUCUAAACAAGAUGGGUGAUGAUUGGCUUAAUGAUGGGUCUCGUAUGAAAAUUGAAAUUAUGGGAUCAUAUUGUGGCAUAAGUGAGCAUUUCAAGCGACAAGAGUCAAUGCUAGAAGUUUAUUAG